GUCUACAGCCAUGCCACCCUGAACAAGGCUGAUCCCAUGUGAUCUCGGAAACUGAGCAGGUUUGGGCCUGGUUAGUACUUGGAUGGGAGACCACCUAGGAAGGCCAUCUGCUGUAGGCA
rnacentral:rRNA from 1 species